rnacentral:rRNA from 1 species
GAUGAACGCUAGCUACAGGCUUAACACAUGCAAGUCGAGGGGUAGCAGGGUAGCAAUACCGCUGACGACCGGCGCACGGGUGAGUAACACGUAUCCAACCUUCCCAUAACUCGGGGAUAGCCUUUCGAAAGAAAGAUUAAUACCCGAUAGUACUUAUAUAGGGCAUCCUACAUAAGUUAAAGAUUUGUUGGUUAUGGAUGGGGAUGCGUUCCAUUAGAUAGUUGGUAAGGUAACGGCUCACCAAGUCUUCGAUGGAUAGGGGUUCUGAGAGGAAGGUCCCCCACAUUGGUACUGAGACACGGACCAAACUCCUACGGGAGGCAGCAGUGAGGAAUAUUGGUCAAUGGGCGAGAGCCUAAACCAGCCAAGUAGCGUGAAGGAUGAAGGUCCUAUGGAUUGUAAACUUCUUUUAUAGUAGAAUAAAGUGAUCCACGUGUGGAUUUUUGUAUGUAUACUAUGAAUAAGGAUCGGCUAACUCCGUGCCAGCAGCCGCCGUAA